rnacentral:rRNA from 1 species
AUUGAACGCUGGCGGCAGGCUUAACACAUGCAAGUCGAGCGCGCGGCGGACGGGUGAGUAAUGUCUGGGAAACUGCCUGCAGGCGGGGGAUAACUACUGGAAACGGUAGCUAAUCCCGCAUACCAUCAGAUGUGCCCAGAUUGUAUUAGCUAGUAGGUGGGGUAAUGGCUCACCUAGGCGACGAUCCCUAGCUGGUCUGAGAGGAUGACCAGCCACACUGGAACUGAGACACGGUCCAGACUCCUACGGGAGGCAGCAGUGGGGAAUAUUGCACAAUGGGCGAAAGCCUGAUACAGCCAUGCCGCGUGUGUGAAGAAGGCCUUCGGGUUGUAAAGCACUGUCAGCGAGGAGGCGUUACUCGCAGAAGAAGCACCGGCUAACUCCGUGCCAGCAGCCGCGGUAAUUC